GUGACCGCGAGGUUACAUCUGAAGAAAGCGGGACUACAAAACCCGGUACUGACGAACAGGAACCGUAUACAGAGGCAUUUAUGCACGGGCAAGCAACCACAUCAUUGUAAAGCCCAAAGAAUACCAAAAGUUCAUUUAUGUAGAUACGGCAGGAAUCGGGGGAAAGAAGAUGCUC
rnacentral:ncRNA from 2 species